GCGGCGUGCCUAAUACAUGCAAGUCGAACGCACUCUCGUUUAGAUUGAAGGAGCUUGCUCCUGAUUGAUAAACAUUUGAGUGAGUGGCGGACGGGUGAGUAACACGUGGGUAACCUGCCCUAAAGUGGGGGAUAACAUUUGGAAACAGAUGCUAAUACCGCAUAAAACCUAACACCGCAUGGUGUAGGGUUGAAAGAUGGUUUCGGCUAUCACUUUAGGAUGGACCCGCGGUGCAUUAGUUAGUUGGUGAGGUAAAGGCUCACCAAGACCGUGAUGCAUAGCCGACCUGAGAGGGUAAUCGGCCACACUGGGACUGAGACACGGCCCAGACUCCUACGGGAGGCAGCAGUAGGGAAUCUUCCACAAUGGACGAAAGUCUGAUGGAGCAACGCCGCGUGAGUGAAGAAGGUUUUCGGAUCGUAAAACUCUGUUGUUGGAGAAGAAUGUAUCUGAUAGUAACUGAUCAGGUAGUGACGGUAUCCAACCAGAAAGCCACGGCUAACUACGUGCCAGCAGCCGCGGUAAUACGUAGGUGGCAAGCGUUGUCCGGAUUUAUUGGGCGUAAAGCGAGCGCAGGCGGUUUCUUAAGUCUGAUGUGAAAGCCUUCGGCUCAACCGAAGAAGUGCAUCGGAAACUGGGAAACUUGAGUGCAGAAGAGGACAGUGGAACUCCAUGUGUAGCGGUGAAAUGCAUAGAUAUAUGGAAGAACACCAGUGGCGAAGGCGGCUGUCUGGUCUGUAACUGACGCUGAGGCUCGAAAGCAUGGGUAGCAAACAGGAUUAGAUACCCUGGUAGUCCAUGCCGUAAACGAUGAGUGCUAGGUGUCGGAGGGUUUCCGCCCUUCAGUGCCGCAGCUAACGCAUUAAGCACUCCGCCUGGGGAGUACGACCGCAAGGUUGAAACUCAAAGGAAUUGACGGGGGCCCGCACAAGCGGUGGAGCAUGUGGUUUAAUUCGAAGCAACGCGAAGAACCUUACCAGGUCUUGACAUCCUUUGACCACUCUAGAGAUAGAGCUUUCCCUUCGGGGACAAAGUGACAGGUGGUGCAUGGUUGUCGUCAGCUCGUGUCGUGAGAUGUUGGGUUAAGUCCCGCAACGAGCGCAACCCUUAUUACUAGUUGCCAGCAUUUAGUUGGGCACUCUAGUGAGACUGCCGGUGACAAACCGGAGGAAGGUGGGGACGACGUCAAAUCAUCAUGCCCCUUAUGACCUGGGCUACACACGUGCUACAAUGGAUGGUACAACGAGUUGCGAGACCGCGAGGUUUAGCUAAUCUCUUAAAACCAUUCUCAGUUCGGAUUGUAGGCUGCAACUCGCCUACAUGAAGCCGGAAUCGCUAGUAAUCGCGGAUCAGCAUGCCGCGGUGAAUACGUUCCCGGGUC
rnacentral:rRNA from 2 species